rnacentral:rRNA from 1 species
UAUGGUAUGUGCCAGCAGCCGCGGUAAUACGGAGGAUGCAAGCGUUAUCCGGAUUUAUUGGGUUUAAAGGGAGCGCAGACGGGUCGUUAAGUCAGCUGUGAAAGUUUGGGGCUCAACCUUAAAAUUGCAGUUGAUACUGGCGUCCUUGAGUGCGGUUGAGGUGUGCGGAAUUCGUGGUGUAGCGGUGAAAUGCUUAGAUAUCACGAAGAACUCCGAUUGCGAAGGCAGCACACUAAGCCGUAACUGACGUUCAUGCUCGAAAGUGUGGGUAUCAAACAGG